CUCGGCUGUAAGCCUGUGCGGUCGACACGAAACGGAAUAAAGUAUCUGUCGCUCUCUGCCACGGUAUUCCCACAGAAACUUAUUAGCGUACAAUCGUGGUGUUGAGGUGAGAAUGUGCGCGCCGGGCGUACGUACAAUUCAUACAGCAGAUACGUUCUCCCGCCGGCAACGCGAGACACCUACACCGUCGUAUCGUGCAAUCGUAGUUGCGUCAGGCAGUCGCUCGCGCGCGUGUGAUAGCACGUGUUCGGUAUCACGGCUCUGGAAUAACUGUCGCGAUACUUAUACAAAUUGAGACGUGAAAGAGAUAUGUCCCUUGACGGCGCGAGUCCGCUUUCCCAUCUCGCUAUCCUCCUUAUUCUUUCCGCUUUCCAUUUCUGUCUCUUCCGCAACUUCCCUCUGCCUCGUCUUUUUCCGCUCGUUUCGCUCAUACGUUCUGGGAGUACGCUCUCCCGUAACGUGUGCGCGAAUAAACAAAACGGCAGUAAUCUCCGCACGUGCAACCCGACACGAACACCCCUCUCUCUAUCGUGAAAACGCCGUUUACCCGUUUCAAUAUCAGCUCGCUAAACGAGAUCUCAAAGGAGGCACCGAUCUAGGAGGUACUCACGAAUUUCCCCGAGUGCUCUGCGAGAUUCUAUUACGAGAUGGUACGCGGCGGGGGCCGCGUUUACGCUCCACUGGCACGCAGAUGCGUCAAUCAGAUCAACAGGGAAUUCGGCUGAAUGUCUCUUUCGCGUUCUGCGGCCAUGGAGAAAUCAGAAGACGGUACCCACGCUGAUCACGUACCGCGCGCUAAGGCCAAUCUGUUCUCCUCUGCCGUCACGUUUGACAGUUUAUGUCAUUCGCGUUGCCGCCCCGUCUGCGCGCGAUCUACCUUUCGAACUCGGGCAAACUUGAUCAGAUUAAGUUGGGUAAUAUUAAAUAAAGGAAGUUCGCGCACGCAUUCUGUAAGUGGUAUUCUC